rnacentral:tRNA from 1 species
ACUUAAAUAAUUUAAAUUAAAAUAUCAGUUUGUGGUUCUGAAUAUGUAAUGUCUACUUUAAGUU